CCACGCUGGAGUGCAGAGGUGUGAUCAUAGCUCACUGCAGUCUCCAAUGCCUGGGCUCAAGUGACCCUCCUGCCUCAGCCUCCCAAGUAGCCGGGAUUAUAAGCAUGCACCGCCAUGCCUAGUUAAUGUUUUAAUUUUUGGUAUUGACGGGGUCUUAUUAUGUUGCCCAGGCUGGUCUUGAACUCCUGACCUCAAGCAAUCCUCCCGCCUCUGCUUCCCAAAGCAUUGGGAUUACAGGCAUGAGCUACUGAGCUUGGCCUGCUAUGUUCUCAAAACAAUCCAUGGAGCCCGCUCUGUGCCCUGGCUCUGGGUGCUCCCACUGGUUCGGCUGCAGUAGGAGACCGCCUUAGCGGGUAACCCAACCCUGGAUUUUCUGGUACUAUCAGAGCCGGCUCAGGGAACCCACCGUCAGCCCCCAGGCUCUCUCCGGCCUGUGGUUGGUGUCCCCAGGCCGGUGUCCCCAGGCCAGUGUCCUCUUGGUGACACCACAGUCAGGCAGGGCAACAUGGCAGCUCCCAGGGGUAGGGGAGCGAGGUCAGAAACAGAAGCUGUAAUUAAAUCUUUUUUUACCCACCCUCAUCCCCAGCAGGAAGUUAUUCUUGGUGCUCAGCGAGGGGGAAGGAGGGGCGGGAUGUGAGCAAAACGGCUGCUUUUGACCUCAUGGCCUUCCUGGCGAUUGGGUGGAGAGGUUUUUAAAGAUCGAGGAAGAGAUUUCCUUGAGCAUCUUCUGAAAAUAGAGACUGGGGCCUCUAGUUUGGCUCUUUCUGGACUCGACUUCUACUUUUUGGACAGAGAGAAGGCCAAAGCCCCAGCCUGGGCACUCGAUGCCUAAUCCCGUCGGCUGCAGCUUCCCUGGUGCCUUCCCUUGGACAUGGGUUGGGCUUGGACGGGGACAGUGUACUGGGGAGACGAGUGGGGCAAUUCCCCCUAGGUGGGUGGAGGCAGAGGUGGCUGUGGCCAGCGAGCAGCUUGCGUUUUCCAAAUUGGUGGCUUUUGUUUGGGCAGAGCAGGCCUUGAAAACCCGCUCCAGCAUCAGCACCUCCUCCUCCUCUUCCCCUGGGGUCAGACAAGGGCCCAGGACCCAGGCCUGCAGACGCUGAGUGGGAAGGCAGAGGCAGAGCAUUAGCAGCAUCACCAGCACUUCCUUCCGGGCUUUUCUUCCAGGGGCCCUUGGGAGGAGCCCCGUUCCUCCUCCCGCAUCCCCCUGUGCAUUCUCCGCUCUAUCAAUUCCUCAGCCCUCUCCUCUUCCCCCCAAAACUAGAGCCAGGGCCAAGGAAGUGUAGCCAAGAGGAUGACUUGGUUUGGUCUCCUGUGGAAAAGAUUCCAGCAUCUCCCAUUCAACAAAAGCCAAAGUCUACAAGAAAUAGGACGUGAGGUUCCAGUUCUUGGAACAGGGACUGCAAACCCUUCACCUUCAAGAAGAAAAAUUACCAGACAUGAAGGGAGCUACCUCCAAGGCGAAGACUUAGGAUCCCAUUCUGCUCCAGCUACUCUUUGGGGCUGCAUUCUCUUUCACUUGUAUUUUUUAAAAAAUAAAAAUCCAGUCUCCAUUUCAUCAGGAUCAUCUGUCCCCUUCAGUUUCUUCGUUUU
rnacentral:lncRNA from 1 species